GUAGGUGGCAAGCGUUGUCCGGAUUUAUUGGGUUUAAAGGGUGCGUAGGCGGCUUUGUAAGUCAGUGGUGAAAUAUGGCAGCUUAACUGUCAAGGUGCCAUUGAUACUGCAGAGCUUGAGUACAGAUGAGGUAGGCGGAAUUGACGGUGUAGCGGUGAAAUGCUUAGAUAUCGUCAAGAACACCUAUAGCGAAGGCAGCUUACUAAGCUGUAACUGACGCUGAGGCACGAAAGUGUGGGGAUCAAACAGGAUUAGAUACCCUGGUAGUCCACACUGUAAACGUUGAUUACUCGCUGUGUGCGAUAUACAGUACGCGGCCAAGCGAAAGCGCUAAGUAAUCCACCUGGGGAGUACGCCGGCAACGGUG
rnacentral:rRNA from 1 species